AUUGAACGCUGGCGGCAGGCUUAACACAUGCAAGUCGAGCGGAGAGAGGUAGCUUGCUACUGAUCUUAGCGGCGGACGGGUGAGUAAUGCUUAGGAAUCUGCCUAUUAGUGGGGGACAACAUUUCGAAAGGAAUGCUAAUACCGCAUACGUCCUACGGGAGAAAGCAGGGGAUCUUCGGACCUUGCGCUAAUAGAUGAGCCUAAGUCGGAUUAGCUAGUUGGUGGGGUAAAGGCCCACCAAGGCGACGAUCUGUAGCGGGUCUGAGAGGAUGGUCCGCCACACUGGGACUGAGACACGGCCCAAACUCCUACGGGAGGCAGCAGUGGGGAAUAUUGGACAAUGGGCGGAAGCCUGAUCCAGCCAUGCCGCGUGUGUGAAGAAGGCCUUAUGGUUGUAAAGCACUUUAAGCGAGGAGGAGGCUACUUUAGUUAAUACCUAGAGAUAGUGGACGUUACUCGCAGAAUAAGCACCGGCUAACUCUGUGCCAGCCGCCGCCGUAAAAC
rnacentral:rRNA from 1 species